rnacentral:tRNA from 1 species
GGUUAUGGCUCAGUGGUAGAGUACUCGCCUUGCACAUGCAAGGCCCUGGGUUCAAUCCUCAGCACCA